AAUUGUGGGUGUUAAUUACAGUGAUUUUAUGCAACUAGUUGUUCUAACUGUUUGUUAACGAUCCACAUAAAGCCAAUUAAAUAAGAUAGGCAUGGACCCUUCCUCCAACGCGUUUUCAUAUGCUCAAAACUUGAAAAAGGAAAAAGAAAGUGCUGAACAAUAAAGUUCAUAAAAUCUUCAUAGGCGACAAGCUCCUUUCUACAAAAAGAAGCUGCUAGAAAACUCGAUUAAUAGAUAAAUUAGUCUAAUUAAGGUGCUAGAAAACUGAAGUGAUACAGUAAAAGAUAAAUUAGUCGAAUGUCACUCUACCUUCUAGUCACGCGCCAUCUUGCAGGUGUAAAGGAAGUCUACGACAGUCAAGAGGGGGCGAGAUAAAUACUCUGUGAUAGUGGAGCAGAUCAACCUCAAAAUGCGGAAAGGUAGUUUAGUACAAUCUUUCGAUCAUCCCGAGGCCUGCCAGCUGAAUAGAACACUGACAGGUGCAUCAAAAUAACCAACAGAAUAUUACACCAAAACACCAGAGUAAGACUGCAAUCAUGGCAAAAGCAACAUCCUCAAAAGAAAAACUCGUGCAGCCUUACGCAAAGACGAGAGACGCAAGGUCCCAUCUUGCAUUCUUAAAGGAGAAUGCAGAGCAUUCAAGCGUACAUGUUAGUUUUAGGUAACAACAGGUCACAAUUUGCUUGUCCUUGCAAACCAUGAACUUAUUUAUUUAUCAAAUGGUGGGAGAACAAAGGUCUGCUUCGAGUCAAUACUAAGCUUAUACAUUUUCUAUAGCAACAGGCUGAUUUUUGAAAGGGGUAGGAAUGAACAAGGUCUUUCCAUGACCAUGAUCGGUGGUCAGGGAUUACCCUCAGCUGAAAUUUUCUCUGCCUAUCAAAUUACAUGUCAGGAGACAUACACAUGCUUGCCUCUAAGAACAACAAAGGUCACGCGAGAAACGAGUGGAGACCCAUUUCCGCACCACUCGUUUGUAGACCAGAGGAUAUAUCGGGUUGGGCCAGGUUCCCCAGGGUUACCUUUGAUGACAAACGAAAUUCCUCAGUCUGAGCCCAGCCCGACCUGGCUUCGGAUCUGAACUCCAAACCCCGAGUUCAACCGUCCAAAAGGUUAAAGGCCUGGGUCUGCCCUGCCGGGCCCGAACCGACCAAGGCCUGACCUGUUAGGAGAUAGCUAUCUUACCUCUCCUCCAUUUCAGGAUUAAUGAUCGGGAUCCGUCUCGUCUCCAAUGUCCCGAGCUGACACUGCAAUGCCGCUGCAUACGUUGUGGAGGGGGCGUGG
rnacentral:lncRNA from 1 species